UACGGAGGGUGCAAGCGUUGUCCGGAUUUAUUGGGUUUAAAGGGUGCGUAGGCGGCUUAUUAAGUCAGCGGUGAAAGACGGUCGCUCAACGACUGCAGUGCCGUUGAUACUGGUAAGCUUGAGUUUGUUUGAGGUAGCUGGAAUGGAUAGUGUAGCGGUGAAAUGCAUAGAUAUUAUCCAGAACGCCAAUUGCGUAGGCAGGUUACUAAGACAAUACUGACGCUGAGGCACGAAAGUGCGGGGAUCAAACAGG
rnacentral:rRNA from 1 species